rnacentral:rRNA from 1 species
UACGUAGGGUGCGAGCGUUGUCCGGAAUUACUGGGCGUAAAGAGCUCGUAGGUGGUUUGUCGCGUUGUUCGUGAAAACUCACAACUCAAUUGUGGGCGUGCGGGCGAUACGGGCAGACUGGAGUACUGCAGGGGAGACUGGAAUUCCUGGUGUAGCGGUGAAAUGCGCAGAUAUCAGGAGGAACACCGGUGGCGAAGGCGGGUCUCUGGGCCGAAAUUGACGCUGAGGAGCGAAAGCGUGGGGAGCAAACAGG